rnacentral:lncRNA from 1 species
CAAGUCAAUCAAACACCCACAGAGACGCUCAGAGUACGUUACAUGUCUCUUUUCAUUAUCUCCUGAAUUAUAUUGUAUAACUUAGAUAACUAAUACCUUUUUUAUUUAUUUCAAAUUAAAGACAGAAUGGUUGAGGGAAAAGGUCAUGCAAAAAGACCGAAUCAAAGCUAUCUAAGAGACAAUAGGAGGAUUUCUCCGUGAGCAAGUGAUCAAUCCAAACGGCG